rnacentral:rRNA from 1 species
GGGCAGCUACACAUGCAAGUCGAGCGGUGAAAGGAGCUUGCUCCUUGAUUUAGCGGCGGACGGGUGAGUAAUGCCUAGGAAUCUGCCUGGUAGUGGGGGAUAACGUUCCGAAAGGAACGCUAAUACCGCAUACGUCCUACGGGAGAAAGCAGGGGACCUUCGGGCCUUGCGCUAUCAGAUGAGCCUAGGUCGGAUUAGCUAGUUGGUGAGGUAAUGGCUCACCAAGGCGACGAUCCGUAACUGGUCUGAGAGGAUGAUCAGUCACACUGGAACUGAGACACGGUCCAGACUCCUACGGGAGGCAGCAGUGGGGAAUAUUGGACAAUGGGCGAAAGCCUGAUCCAGCCAUGCCGCGUGUGUGAAGAAGGUCUUCGGAUUGUAAAGCACUUUAAGUUGGGAGGAAGGGCAUUAACCUAAUACGUUAGUGUUUUGACGUUACCGACAGAAUAAGCACCGGCUAACUUCGUGCCAGCAGCCGCGGUAAUACGAAGGGUGCAAGCGUUAAUCGGAAUUACUGGGCGUAAAGCGCGCGUAGGUGGUUCGUUAAGUUGGAUGUGAAAGCCCCGGGCUCAACCUGGGAACUGCAUCCAAAACUGGCGAGCUAGAGUACGGUAGAGGGUGGUGGAAUUUCCUGUGUAGCGGUGAAAUGCGUAGAUAUAGGAAGGAACACCAGUGGCGAAGGCGACCACCUGGACUGAUACUGACACUGAGGUGCGAAAGCGUGGGGAGCAAACAGGAUUAGAUACCCUGGUAGUCCACGCCGUAAACGAUGUCAACUAGCCGUUGGGUUCCUUGAGAACUUAGUGGCGCAGCUAACGCAUUAAGUUGACCGCCUGGGGAGUACGGCCGCAA